ACCCUGGUGGUCCAGUGGCUAAGACUCUGCACUCCCAAUGCAGGGGGCCUGGGUUCAAUCUCUGGUCGGGGAA
rnacentral:tRNA from 1 species